UACGUAGGGUGCAAGCGUUGUCCGGAAUUAUUGGGCGUAAAGAGCUCGUAGGCGGUUUGUCGCGUCUGCUGUGAAAUCCCGGGGCUUAACCCCGGGCGUGCAGUGGAUACGGGCUGGCUGGAGGCAGGCAGGGGAGAACGGAAUUCCCGGUGUAGCGGUGAAAUGCGCAGAUAUCAGGAGGAACACCGGUGGCGAAGGCGGUUCUCUGGGCCUGUACUGACGCUGAGGAGCGAAAGCGUGGGGAGCAAACAGG
rnacentral:rRNA from 1 species